UUCAGGCCCCGGUGGUCGCGGGCCCGCCAACUCCGCCAGGGCCGAAAGGCAGCAACGGUACGUGGUGUCUCACGUUGCAUCGUCAGGCCUGAAGCA
rnacentral:SRP_RNA from 1 species